rnacentral:rRNA from 1 species
GAAUUUUGGACAAUGGGGGCAACCCUGAUCCAGCCAUCCCGCGUGUGCGAUGACGGCCUUCGGGUUGUAAAGCACUUUUGGCAGCGAAGAAAAGGCACUGGCUAAUGCUUGCAACUGCUGACGGUACCUGCAGAAGCAGCACCGGCUACCUACGUGCCUGCAGCGGCGGUAAUACGUAGGGUGCAAGCGUUAAUCGGAAUUACUGGGCGUAAAGCGUGCGCAGGCGGUUCGGCAAGAAGGAUGUGAAAUCCCAGGGCUUAACCUUGGAACUGCAUUCUUAACUGCCGGGCUAGAGUAUGUCAGAGGGGGGUAGAAUUCCGCGUGUAGCAGUGAAAUGCGUAGAGAUGCGGAGGAAUACCGAUGGCGAAGGCAGCCCCCUGGGAUAAUACUGACGCUCAUGCACGAAAGCGUGGGGAGCAAAC